rnacentral:rRNA from 1 species
AAGGAAUAUUGGACAAUGGGCGAAAGCCUGAUCCAGCCAUGCCGCGUGAAGGACGAAGGCGCUCAGCGUUGUAAACUUCUUUUGGAUGGGAACAAUAACUCCGACUUGUCGGAGCUUGAGGGUACCAUCAGAAUAAGCACCGGCUAACUCCGUGCCAGCAGCCGCGGUAAUACGGAGGGUGCAAGCGUUAUCCGGAAUCACUGGGUUUAAAGGGUGCGUAGGCGGCCCAAUAAGUCAGUCGUGAAAUCGCUGGGCUUAACCCAUGCAAUUGCGAUUGAUACUGUUGGACUUGAAUUAGGUUGAGGCUGGCGGAAUGCGACAUGUAGCGGUGAAAUGCUUAGAUAUGUCGCAGAACACCGAUUGCGAAGGCAGCCAGCUGGGCCUUGAUUGACGCUGAGGCACGAAAGCGUGGGGAGCAAAC